UACGGAGGAUGCGAGCGUUAUCCGGAUUUAUUGGGUUUAAAGGGUGCGCAGGCGGCGUGUCAAGUCAGCGGUAAAAUGUCGGGGCUCAACCCCGGCCGGCCGUUGAGACUGGCGUGCUCGAGUUGGAGAGAAGUAUGCGGAAUUCGUGGUGUAGCGGUGAAAUGCAUAGAUAUCACGAAGAACCCCGAUUGCGAAGGCAGCAUACCGGCUCCACACUGACGCUGAGGCACGAAAGCGUGGGUAUCAAACAGG
rnacentral:rRNA from 1 species